CCUACGGGGUGCAGCAGUGGGGGAUAUUGCACAAUGGGGGAAACCCUGAUGCAGCGACGCCGCGUGGGUGAAGAAGCGCCUCGGCGCGUAAAGCCCUGUCAGCAGGGAAGAAAAUGACGGUACCUGAAGAAGAAGCCCCGGCUAACUACGUGACAGCAGCCGCGGUAAUACGUAGGGGGCAAGCGUUAUCCGGAUUUACUGGGUGUAAAGGGGGCGCAGACGGCGAUGCAAGCCAGGAGUGAAAGCCCGGGGCCCAACCCCGGGACUGCUCUUGGAACUGCGUGGCUAGAGUGCAGGAGGGGCAGGCGGAAUUCCUGGUGUAGCGGUGAAAUGCGUAGAUAUCAGGAGGAACUCCGGUGGCGAAGGCGGCCUGCUGGACUGCAACUGACGUUGAGGCCCGAAAGCGUGGGGAGCAAACAGGAUUAGAUACCCUAGUAGUC
rnacentral:rRNA from 1 species